AGAUGCUCACAUGAAAACAUGGUUGCCGAAGCAGUUUCUACCGUUUCAAGUUGUUUGUUUAUGAGCCAAGACUGAAGAUAUACAAGCUAAUGUCAAGGGGUCCCUGCAUCUGUGGUGUUCGGCUCGCUAUGGUGGUCGACCAUGGAAUACUUGUGAGGGAGAGCACCCCUUUAGUGCCUCUUCGCGUAGUUCCUCCGGCGUGCACAGCUUAAGCCUUCUUACCAUGGAUGACAAAGUCUGCCUUGUCG